GGCUAUGAGUUGGUUUAAUCUCAGCUGGCAACUGUGAGAUGUCCCUAUCAUUCCUCACAGUGGUCUCUGGGAUUAUGCUAAACAGAGCA
rnacentral:pre_miRNA from 1 species